AUUGAACGCUGGCGGCAGGCCUAACACAUGCAAGUCGAGCGGAUGAAGGGGGCUUGCUCCUGGAUUCAGCGGCGGACGGGUGAGUAAUGCCUAGGAAUCUGCCUGGUCGUGGGGGAUAACGUCCGGAAACGGGCGCUAAUACCGCAUACGUCCUGAGGGAGAAAGUGGGGGAUCUUCGGACCUCACGCUAUCAGAUGAGCCUAGGUCGGAUUAGCUAGUUGGUGGGGUAAAGGCCUACCAAGGCGACGAUCCGUAACUGGUCUGAGAGGAUGAUCAGUCACACUGGAACUGAGACACGGUCCAGACUCCUACGGGAGGCAGCAGUGGGGAAUAUUGGACAAUGGGCGAAAGCCUGAUCCAGCCAUGCCGCGUGUGUGAAGAAGGUCUUCGGAUUGUAAAGCACUUUAAGUUGGGAGGAAGGGCAGUAAGUUAAUAUCUUGCUGUUUUGACGUUACCAACAGAAUAAGCACCGGCUAACUUCGUG
rnacentral:rRNA from 1 species